AUUGAACGCUGGCGGCAGGCUUAACACAUGCAAGUCGAGCGGUAGCACAGGGGAGCUUGCCCCCUGGGUGACGAGCGGCGGACGGGUGAGUAAUGUCUGGGAAACUGCCUGAUGGAGGGGGAUAACUACUGGAAACGGUAGCUAAUACCGCAUAACGUCGCAAGACCAAAGAGGGGGACCUUCGGGCCUCUUGCCAUCAGAUGUGCCCAGAUGGGAUUAGCUAGUAGGUGGGGUAAUGGCUCACCUAGGCGACGAUCCCUAGCUGGUCUGAGAGGAUGACCAGCCACACUGGAACUGAGACACGGUCCAGACUCCUACGGGAGGCAGCAGUGGGGAAUAUUGCACAAUGGGCGCAAGCCUGAUGCAGCCAUGCCGCGUGUGUGAAGAAGGCCUUCGGGUUGUAAAGCACUUUCAGCGAGGAGGAAGGUGGUGAGCUUAAUACGUUCAUCAAUUGACGUUACUCGCAGAAGAAGCACCGGCUAACUCCGUG
rnacentral:rRNA from 1 species